rnacentral:rRNA from 1 species
AUUGAACGCUGGCGGCAUGCCUUACACAUGCAAGUCGAACGGCAGCGCGGGGCAACCUGGCGGCGAGUGGCGAACGGGUGAGUAAUAUAUCGGAACGUACCCUGGAGUGGGGGAUAACGUAGCGAAAGUUACGCUAAUACCGCAUACGAUCUAAGGAUGAAAGUGGGGGAUCGCAAGACCUCAUGCUCCUGGAGCGGCCGAUAUCUGAUUAGCUAGUUGGUAGGGUAAAAGCCUACCAAGGCAUCGAUCAGUAGCUGGUCUGAGAGGACGACCAGCCACACUGGAACUGAGACACGGUCCAGACUCCUACGGGAGGCAGCAGUGGGGAAUUUUGGACAAUGGGCGCAGGCCUGAUCCAGCAAUGCCGCGUGAGUGAAGAAGGCCUUCGGGUUGUAAAGCUCUUUUGUCAGGGAAGAAACGGGUCUUUCUAAUACAGAGGCCUAAUGACGGUACCUGAAGAAUAAGCACCGGCUAACUACGUGCCAGCAGCCGCGGUAAUACGUAGGGUGCAAGCGUUAAUCGGAAUUACUGGGCGUAAAGCGUGCGCAGGCGGUUUUGUAAGUCUGUCGUGAAAUCCCCGGGCUCAACCUGGGAAUGGCGAUGGAGACUGCAA